CAGCAUUCUCAGGGCGGGGUGGAAGUCCCCACCGGCGGUAAGCAGUGUGCUGCAAGCCCGCGAGCGCCUUCCAUUCGGAAGGGUCAAGCAGAUCAGGUGAGAAUCCUGAGCCGACGGUCAAAGUCCGGAUGAAAGAGAAACUGC
rnacentral:ncRNA from 2 species